AGUUGUUUUUGAUCAAAAAGAGGGUUGAUGAUGCAGUGCCAAUUUCUACUAGUCAUGGGUGUGAAGAGAUUCAGUGGUGGAGAGAUUCAUGGUCAUACUCCAGGAUUACAUUAAGGUUUGAAUUGACUUCGUUGGCAUGCUUGUUAGCUGCAAGCCUAUUAGUGCGAGAGAACAACUAUUUCCCUCGGGUAACUAUUCUUACCGUAAUGAAUCUGCUGGGCAAAACUAUUUGGCGUAUUCAUGAAGAUAGUUUUGAACCAAUUGUAAAAGCAAUUGAAGAAAAUAUAAUUGGCCGAGCGAUGUCACAAUUGUUUAUUCAAUGAGCAGCUUAAGUCAUAAUUCUACGUUUGCGGCAUUUACGGUGUUGUUGCGUUUGUAGAACUUGGCAUUUUUGGUAUUGUUUUUUACAACCCUCUUUCUGUUUCGUACAACCUUUCAUACACGCGUUGAGAUACAUAAACUGUAUUAUAUUUCAUGGAUUUUGUACUGUUGUGUCUUUUGAAUAUGUUAGGAAAUAUUUAAUCAAUUCUCUCUUUUCAUUGCAGCUUUUUUUGUUUCUUCUAAUUUUAUACUUUCAUAUCUUGCCUUGGUUAUGUCUAAUAGUUAUGCGGUGUAAGCUUAUAUUGAAAAUGUUGAUACAAGCCAAAUUAGGUUACACACUAUUCUCUCUCUGACUUUAUGAUAAUUCUUGAUAUGGAUUAAUUGGUUUUACUUUUCAGGACAAAUCAUUUAUAAAAAUUGAAAAAGGUCAAAAAAUAUGUGGCUAAAGUGCUUAUUAGGGAAAGAAAGAAAAAAAAAACAGGAAAUUGGUGAUUUAGAGGAUGUCUUUGUUGGUGAUAUAAGACAUAUUGAAAGUCUUGUUCCUGCAAUUCUCACAAUUGCAGUACCACUGAUGUAACAUGGAUAUGAUCUAAACCAAGAAAUAAUAGCUAUGAGGUUUAGGCAGUUGAAAUAGGAUUAGCUUUUCAAAUGGAGGACAAUGAACUUGAUUUCUCGCCUCUGGUCUGUGUUCAUCUUCUAGCUGCUAAGUUUGCGUUCAUCUUCCUCCAUGUUGGGUUUGCGUUCAUAGCUGUCCUCGAUGGGUGUAUCUCCUUGUCGAGAUGGAUACUAAGGAAAAUGAUGUGAUGAAGUUUAACUUUAGUUACUUUUUGUUAUAUAUUUUUGUUAAAUUAAUCAUAUGUAUUUUUGUGUUUGACAACUUUAAGUUUGAUAUUAUUAUAUAGUGUCGUAGUGGCAUACUUGAUACUUUGUAAGAAUGACAUACAUUUUUAUGUUAAUGUUUCAAAUUUGGUGUCAA